GGAAUGCGUGGUUAAAGUUUAUUUUUUGAGAGGUUUCAGCUCGCGUGGGGAGUGUUUGUUUACUUUGUGUACCGCGGAUUCAUUUUUAAAGAAGCCACAAGUCGACGCUGGAUUUGCAGAGAGACUGUGAUUAAAAGCACCGCUAAUAUUGGAUCUGACAAAAAUGACACAGCAGUAUACACACACUGAAAAUCUUAUGUAUAACGUAUAUGAGUGGGGAGAUGAAGCUCUUUUUACUCAGAUACCCGCUGCCUUUGAUAUGCUAUACCUGUUCAAGAAAAGCUACCUGCAAGGGAAAACAUAAACAGAUCAAUCACCCACCAAGAUCUGCAUUAUCAGGGAGCCAGGUUAUGUGCCUGAGAUGUUGCGCGGCGGAGGAUCUGAAAACCUCCCGCGGGACUCCUCGCCACCUGCCAGGACCCAGCGAUGACACGGAGAGCAUUACGGCCCGCCGGAGCCGAGUUACGUGGCUGAGACGUUAAGCGGCGAAGGAUCCGAAAACUCCCAGCGGGACUCCUCGCCCCCUGACAGGACCCAGCGAUGACACUGAGAGCGUUACGGCCCGCCGGAGCCGAGUUACGUGGCUGAGACGUUAAGCGGCGAAGGAUCCGAAAACUCCCAGCGGGACUCCUCGCCCCCUGACAGGACCCAGCGAUGACACUGAGAGCGUUACGGCCCGCCGGAGCCGAGUUACGUGGCUGAGACGUUAAGCGGCGAAGGAUCCGAAAACUCCCAGCGGGACUCCUCGCCCCCUGACAGGACCCAGCGAUGACACUGAGAGCGUUACGGCCCGCCGGAGCCGAGUUACGUGGCUGAGACGUUAAGCGGCGAAGGAUCCGAAAACUCCCAGCGGGACUCCUCGCCCCCUGACAGGACCCAGCGAUGACACUGAGAGCGUUACGGCCCGCCGUGAGUAGUAGUUCCACUUUUCAUGCGUCGGCGUACAAGAGAUGGGCGUAAAUUCAUGGAAAUGUUAUUGCCUGUUAUUAAAUGUCCUAAAACUGUUUCUGCAAGUCAAGCGCAAAGAUGGUUAUUUUCAGAAUGUGCCCGGUUUACACCGCUGUGCCCUGUCCGCCCUCAGGUUUAGGUCGCUCCAAGGUGCUGCCAUUAGGUUCGCUUGUUUCCUAGCUCGGGAUGCAGCGCCCUGGGCGGGACUAGCGGCUUGGCUGCCCCGGCUUCAUGCCGCCCGCUUGACGCGCACCCUGCGUGCGCAGACAGCUGUGGCCUGUACCGCACAUGGAUUGCGGUGCAGGGCGGGCGCGGGUCGCGGUUCACCCCAGGGUCUCAUUUAAGAGUUAGAGCAGGGCCUGCACUGUAAGGUGGCGGGAGGGAAACAGGAAGGGCCCUGCUUUCGAAACACAGAAGCGUCUAAUGGCAAACACCUUGUUUUAUAACAUCGGCGUUAAACCAUGUUCAUGCUUCAUGCGUUAAAAAGCUUGGUACUUAAACAUGCUAACAGCUAAACUAAGCUUCUGUCAAACAGUUUUAACCGUUCAGGUCAGGAUUCGUCAAGCCAACGCAAAGUUGGCCUACAAACUUUAGCAUGUAGUUAGAGGUCAUUAUACACUGUCCAAGAGGCACCCGGAAAUAUAACCCGAAGGCCUCACGCUUUUAGAAAUGAAACGCUGACACGUUUGAUGAUAGGUUUGGUGGUUGGGCUAUACAUGUUUUUGAAAUAUCUCCCAUCUCUGGACAUACCGCAGCGUCAUGGUGUUGAUGCAUUAAGUCGGGUGGUUGGGCCAUGCAUUUUUUUGAAAUAUUGCCCAUCUCUGGACCUACCACUGCGUCAUGGUGUUGAUGCGUCAACACCGUGACGCAGCGCCUCGUUUCUUUCACAGGGAGCCGAGUUACGUGGCUGAGACGUUAAGCGGCGAAGGAUCCGAAAACUCCCAGCGGGACUCCUCGCCCCCUGACAGGACCCAGCGAUGACACUGAGAGCGUUACGGCCCGCCGGAGCCGAGUUACGUGGCUGAGACGUUAAGCGGCGAAGGAUCCGAAAACUCCCAGCGGGACUCCUCGCCCCCUGACAGGACCCAGCGAUGACACUGAGAGCGUUACGGCCCGCCGGAGCCGAGUUACGUGGCUGAGACGUUAAGCGGCGAAGGAUCCAAAAACUCCCAGCGGGACUCCUUGCCCCCUGACAGGACCCAGCGAUGACACUGAGAGCGUUAUGGCCCGCCGUGAGUAGUAGUUCCACUUUUCAUGCAGUUCACCCCAUAGUUAGAGCAGGGCCUGCACUGUAAGGUGGUGGGUGUGAAACAGGAAGGGUCCUGCUUUAAAAAACACAGAAGCAUCCUAGAUAAUUUACUCACCCCCAUGUCAUCCAAUGUUGAUGUCUUUCUUUGUUCAGUUGAGAAGAAAUGUAUUUUUUUGAUGAAAACAUUCCAGGAUUUUUCUCAAUUCAAUAGACUUUAUUGGACCCCUGUUUACAGUUUAAAUUGAAGUUUCAAUGCAGCUUUAAAGGUCUCCAAAUGAUCCCAACCGAGGUAUAAAGCCCGAUUUUUAGUCGUGCGUAGGUUGUACGCCGUAGCUUCGCGCUGUGAUUGGUCCACCAGAACUCCUCCCGUCAGGUAAAAAAAACGGUGUCAUAGUUAUUUUCGUUUGUGACGGUGAAAACAAAGAUGAGCCAAGUUGAGGAGUGAUUUAACUCAAAAUGCAUCAAAAGUCGCUGUUUAUUUACUUCCAUCAUUGCUGGUCUUCUCAAAUUAUACACAACAAGUUGCUGUUUCUUCUUCGUUUGUGGGUUAACUUGCUAAGCUUCUUCUUCUUUGUCGUUUGUGCUGCUACUGUGGUUACAUGCGUGGUUACUGCCUACCAGCGGUCUGCGCGUGUGUUUGCACGUCGACGCGGACGGCGACCCAAAAGUAUAAAUGAAAACCGACGUGGAACCUACUCCGUCGCGGCUACGCCGUAGGACCUACGCACGACUAAAAGGAGCCCUUAAGGUUGUUAGCUAGCAAAGCGGCAAGAAAAUUAAAAAAAUAUGUACUUUUAAACUUCAACUUCUCAUCUUGCACUAUCUAUGUGAUGCGCCAGCAGUAAACAAUAAACUGACACAAAGACAUUAAUUAAUAUCAUUCCACAUACCACGACGUCAGAACGGUCCUCUUCUCCACACUUGUAAACACUGGAGCGUUAGAUUUGCAUACGUCAUGCUUGACCUUUCGAUGUCAUAAUGCAUUACGUGAGGUCGCGCUGGCGCGUCACACGAUUAUUUUUUAUUUUAUUUUUUAAUUUUUCUUGCCGAAAAUGACAAUCGUUCGACUUAUCACUAGAUAAAUCCCUUAUGCCUUGUUUGGGAUUGUUUAAAGCCCUUUGAAGCUGCGUUGAAACUGCAGGGUUAGGGUUAAAAAACUUCUUAACUGAUCAAAGAAAGACAUCACCAUUUGAGGAGACAUGGGGUUGAGUAAAUUAUUGGGAUUUUUUUAAGGAAAGUAGAGUAAUAAUUUAAUCUCAGAUAAAUGUAUAUUCAAAUAAUGUGUUUGCCUCGUCUCUCCCCUAAGAUUCUUCCUCUGGUU